UACGUAGGGCGCAAGCGUUGUCCGGAAUUAUUGGGCGUAAAGAGCUCGUAGGCGGCCAGUUGCGUCCGCUGUGAAAUCCCGGGGCUUAACCCCGGGCGUGCAGUGGAUACGGGCUGGCUAGAGGCAGGCAGGGGAGAACGGAAUUCCCGGUGUAGCGGUGAAAUGCGCAGAUAUCGGAAGGAACACCAGUGGCGAAAGCGGCUUCCUGGUCCGACACCGACGUUCAGGCACGAAAGCGUGGGGAGCAAACAGG
rnacentral:rRNA from 1 species